AACCUCCCUAAAAACUCUAAGCAAGGACUCUGGAGAGCUUCCAGGCUGGUGAACAAACCAGCAUGCUGGGAUGGUGGUUCAUCUGGAAAGGAGCUCACAACAUUUUAAGUUGCAACAUUAAACCGCUGCCCUGUAUGGAACUGCUGCCAACUUGCUCUCACCAGAUGUCAAAUACUCAUAAGGAACAGAGGACUUUAAAUUUUCCAUAUAGUUUAAGAUCAAAUAAAGCACAGAAAUGAUUGAAAAACAAGUCUAGCACCUAGAAGAAAUGAGGAGAUGGAAAGCUGGUUGAAUUAAGAGGAAGUCUGAGUGAGACACUUGUUAUUCAUGGGAAAAACAUAAUACUAGGUUUUACGGAUGACAGGCUGUAAGUACGUGUUUGAAAGUGCACGUUUGAAAUAGAACUAUCCUACAACCCAGCAACUGCACUAGGAGGACAAAUGGAUUACUUAACUGAUGAUGGUAGGGGGCCAGAGUGAGAAAAGGAAACAUGUCCGAAGUGACCCUGUAUCUUCUUCAGUCUGUCCACAGUUUACCGACCAAAGUAUGCGGAAAAGGAAAGCAGUGGUAAAAAGGAAGAAACGGACUCAUGCAUUCAAUUCCAGGCUUACUUUCUCAGAGUAUUGGCAUAUUAACAAUGAUGAAUGUGUAAGCAAAGAGGUAUAAAUCUGAGCGCAGAGACUUUGAACAUCAACUACAAAGAGGUCCUUCAGCUUUUGAUUAUGCACGACAAGCAGCUGGAAACUCACCAUCAGCAUGAGAGGCAGCUUCAGGACAACUGAGACUUUCCCUGUACUCAACUUCUACAUGUUGGAUCUAGACAAUGUUUGCAUAUCUCUCAGUCUAAAGAUACAUUCUAUUCUUAUCCGAGUUUAACAGAUGGGGGAAAAUGGGCACAGAGAGACUAUAUAAUUUGCCUAAGGACUCACACAAGUGUCAGACCUGAAUUUGAACCUAGACUCACCCCUAAAGUCCAGAGGCUACACUUUCUAGCUUCAUGAUGAAUACUGAAAAUGUCCCAUUGAUUCAAUUUAUAUUAAACCACUUAUUUAUGUAAUUCAUUUCUUAUUCAUUUUCCAAAUUUUCCCUGCAUGUUAUUAUUUAUCACUAACUCUCUACUCUGUCUUCCUACUGACUUCAAGAACAAAGCCAUUCCUACUCCCUUGGCCUGUAAAAUAAGAACAUUCAUCUCCAUUUCCCUCACUUAUUCUAAUCCUACCCACCCUUCAAGUGCUGGCUUAAUGUCACCACCUGCAGGGACUCCUCCCAGCUACUUGUCAGCAAAGAAGUCUCUCUUCUCCAACUUCCUUUUGGCAAUGGAAACAAAUACCUUACUCACUCUUGCCAAAUAAUUACCUUUAAUAUCUGGAUUCUCAGUUUGACUGCAAUCUCACCUACAAAGUAACUGAUAGUGCCCCUGUAGGCCUAUAGCAAGAGUUCAACAGCUGAACAGCUUCAAAAGAUGACUCUAAUACCUUACAGACUCUUCCCUUUAUUUUUAAAAUGUUUUAUGGUGAAAGAUGCGCCCAUAACCUACUUGUAAUCUGGAAUACACAAAUUAUUCUGAAACCCACCCAACUAAUGUUGACAUUUCCUUCUCUACUUAUUGGAUGUGCUUCUGACUUAGUGGAUGCGCUUCUGCAAGGCGACCACCAGAGGGCAGGCUUUCCUUUCUUUCCAAGGCUAUCUAGCACCUGAACAAGAAGCCCUCAGAAACCUGGAAAAUCUACUUUGCCCA